rnacentral:lncRNA from 10 species
UGGGAUUGAUGAGUUUAAUCUACUUACUUUUAUUUUACUAUCAUGUUGGUGUUAAUUCUACCACCUUUUUUCUUUCUUUCUUUCUUUUUUAUGAGAUGGAGUCUCACUCUGUUUCCCAGGCUGGAGUGCAAUGGUACAAUCAGCUCACCGCAACCUCCGCCUCCUGGGUUCCAGCAAUUCUCCUGCCUCAGCCUCCAGAGUAGCUGGGAUUACAGGCAGCCACCACCACACCCUGCUAAUUUUUGUAUUUUUAGUAGAGACAGGGUUUCACCACAGUAGCCAGGCUGGUCUCGAACUCCUGACUUCAAGUGAUCCUCCCGCCUCGGCCUCCCAAAGUGCUGGGAUUACAAGCAUGAGCCACCGUGCCCAGCCCACUACCACCUUUUUUCAUGUCUCAUUAUAUUUUCCCUGUGAUCUCAUAUUCUCCUGCGGAUCUUGACUACCUUGGCUAGUGCUCCCUGGGAUAGCAGAAUAGGCAUAGUCAUCAAGGAUAAUAGAA